GUCUUUGCUUCGGCAAGACAUAUACUAAAAUUGGAACGAUACAGAGAAGAUUAGCAUGGCCCCUGCGCAAGGAUGACACGCAAAAUCGUGAAAAAAGAUACCCCAUC
rnacentral:snRNA from 2 species